rnacentral:rRNA from 1 species
CAGCAGCCGCGGGAAUACAGAGGAUGCAAGCGUUGUCCGGAAUUAUUGGGCGUAAAGGGCUCGCAGGCGGUUUCUUAAGUCUGAUGUGAAAGCCCCCGGCUCAACCGGGGAGGGUCAUUGGAAACUGGGAAACUUGAGCGCAGAAGAGGAGAGUGGAAUUCCACGUGUAGCGGUGAAAUGCGUAGAGAUGUGGAGGAACACCAGUGGCGAAGGCGACUCUCUGGUCUGUAACUGACGCUGAGGAGCGAAAGCGUGGGGAGCGAACAGGAUUAGAUACCCGAGUAGUCCCUGUCUCUUAUAA